rnacentral:rRNA from 1 species
UAGUCCUAGCCGUAAACGAUGGGCAUUAAGCAGCGGGUCCCCGAAGGAUUCGCUGCCGUAGCUAAUGUGUUAAAUGCCCCGCCUGGGGAGUAUGGUCGCAAGGCUGAAACUCAAAGGAAUUGACGGGGGCUCACACAAGCGGUGGAGCAUGUUGUUUAAUUCGAUGCAACGCGAAGAACCUUACCUGGGCUUGACAUGUACGUAGUACCAAAUCGAAAGAGGCGGGACCCUUCGGGGAGCGUACACAGGUAUUGCGUGGCUGUCGUCAGCUCGUGUCGUGAGAUGUUGGGUUAAGUCCCGUAACGAGCGCAACCCUUAUUCUUAGUUGCCAGUGGGUAAAGCCGGGGCACUUUAAGGAGACUGCCGGUGUUAAACCGGAGGAAGGCGGGGACGACGUCAAGUCAUCAUGGUCCUUACGCCCAGGGCUACAAACGUGCUACAAUGGUAGGGACAAAGGGAAGCUAGACCGCGAGGUGGAGCAAAUCCCAAAACCCUGCCCCAGUUCGGAUUGGAGGCUGCAACUCGCCUCCAUGAAGUUGG